rnacentral:rRNA from 1 species
CCCUCGAGAUGAGAUUUCCCAACUUUGGUUAUAAGAUCCCUCAAAGAUGAUGAGGUAAAUAGGUUCGAGGUGGAAGCGUAGCGAUACGUGGAGCUGACGAAUACUAAUCGAUCGAAGACUUAAUCAA